rnacentral:rRNA from 1 species
CUGCAGUUUCAGACCGGCCCCCCACGGACAACCUCGCCUAACCCCCAUGUGGCAAACCAAGAGCAAUUUAAAGGGGGUACAGCCCCUUUAAAAAAGAGAACAGUCUCCCAUAGAGGAUAACUAACCAUCCACCAACCAUCCAAACUGUAGGCCCUUAAGCAGCCACCAACAAAGAAUGCGUCAAAGCUCUCAACCUAAAAAAAUCUAAAAACAACAUGACUCCCUCACCCCCAACAGGCUAGCCUAUACAGAUAGGAGCACCAAUGCUAAAAUGAGUAACUGAGGAAUCCCUCCCUCUUAAGCGCAAACUUACAUCCCACAUUAUUAACGGACCACAACCAAUACCACAAACCCACACAAGACCCUAUAUUUUACCCCCCGUUAAUCCAACCCAGGAGCGCUCAACUAGAAAGAUUAAAAUCUGUAAAAGGAACUAGGCAAACCCAGGACCCGACUGUUUACCAAAAACAUAGCCUUCAGCAAGCCAAGUAUUGAAGGUGAAGCCUGCCCAGUGACACUACGUUCAACGGCCGCGGUAUCCUAACCGUGCAAAGGUAGCGCAAUCAAUUGUCCCAUAAAUGGGGACCAGUAUGAAUGGCUAAACGAGGCCCCAACUGUCUCUUACAGAUAAUCAGUGAAAUUGAUCUCCCUGUGCAAAAGCAGGAAUAAACACAUAAGACGAGAAGACCCUGUGGAACUUAAAAAUCAGCAGCCACCCGACACAAAAUCAAACCUAUCAGGCCCACCACAAUCAGACACUGGCCCGCAUUUUUCGGUUGGGGCGACCUUGGAGAAAAACAAAUCCUCCAAAAACAAGACCUCCCCUCUUAACCAAGAACAACCCCUCAAAGUACUAACAGUAAUCAGACCCAAUACAAUUGACCAAUGGACCAAGCUACCCCAGGGAUAACAGCGCAAUCCCCUCCAAGAGCCCAUAUCGACAAGGGGGUUUACGACCUCGAUGUUGGAUCAGGACAUCCUAAUGGUGCAGC